UUGAAUAAUCUGGGUAUGGAAUAAGCUAUUCCAUACCCGACCUAACUCGAGCCCGAGCCGACCCCGCGCCGAGCUCCCCCCACCCGUCCGGUUUUUCUCCUCGCCGGUUCCUGGAUGGUCACCCCCAGCUCGUAACAGAUCGUGGCCACGAUCUCGUCUUCUUGCGCCGCUUGCUCUCCCGUCUUGCCCGGCGUCGCCUGCUCUCCCGUCCUGCCCUGCGCCGCCGGCGACCGUGCCGCCCCGGCGAGCUGCACCCCUCACCGACCGACACGCACCCCCGCCCCAUCCCACGCCGCCAGCUCGUUUCCGAUUUUGCAUACCCUGAUUUUUCCCCCACAGUUGUCGGUUUCCAAUUAGAUCGAUCAUUCCGCUCCGCUCCUCCCGUCGCCAUCGACGGUUCCGUGCUCUGCGAGUUCGAUCUGUUUUUUCCAGCCGCCGUCGACCCCUAGGAGAGCUCCUUCCGAUGGCGCCGGAGUCCUGCCACCUGAUCCGCUCGGCCUGCCUUCCACUCCGCAUGAGCUCCCUCAGCACACGCGGGAGCUUCCAUCUCCGUGCCCUUGCGCUGGACCCGUGUGGCAGCAAGGCGUCGAUUGCGAGUUUCCUCACGCCCGGCGCCGGCGGCUUCCUCCUCACCUCGAGCAGUGGAACGCUUUGGAGAUCCACCGGCCCAGGUACACAAGAUCAGACCGACGUGGAGCAGCUCAGAAGAGUUUCAGAUUUUUCGGAUGAAUCGCUGCUGAUUCCCCCGCAUAGUGCAAGGUGCCAUCUACCCUCACCCUUAUUGGACAAUUUCUAUCAUAGGUGCCGAUGCUUUGUCCAGGUUGUAGUUCAAAUUAGGUUGUUGUAAACGGUAUCUGUGUGAUUCUUAUCCAACUUCCCCUUCCCUGUUCUUGUCAGUGUAUCCUAACAAAAUGUCGAUCCGCAGGGUUGGUUCUCAACCGAGCACUGGGGGUGACGCCGCACCCGCAUGCUUCCAUGAUUUUCAGUCAUAUCACUCCUGGGUACCAAUGCAGGGGCACCCUCCCUUGAGCUGCGCAAUGCAUGGAUGAGGUUCGGUAUUGGGGGCUUUACAUGCUUCGAGACGUAGACAAGGAUGCUGAAUGCGCGCCUGCAGCCAGUAGACAAGGAUGCGGUCACAGGUACCCAUGUAUUUCAGUGUUGCUGCUCCUGCUUUAGCUGGAGACGAUGGCCACGAGCUCAACUAGUUAAUGGGAGGACAUCAUGCGCCUGUCUCUUCUCUAAUCGUGCCAACUGAUGUUUUAGCUAAUACUAAAAUUUUCAUGAGGCAACCUGUUCAACUGACACUGAUUAGGGUUUACCAAUGUUGGCAUACUAUCAAAUCAUGUGUAUACCAAUGUUAGAUCAUUGAUUUACCCAUUGUCGACAGCAUCUACUUGUGAAUCUUUAUCCUAAUGAACCAUGCCAUGAGAGAAGAGGCUGUGAGAAAAAUAACUAUAGAAGAUUGUAUAAAUAGAGUCAAUGAAAAAUAAACUUGUGCUCUCUUUAUGAACGCAAUCAUGUACCAACCUUUAGCAAAAUCUACUCAAUUUUUUGAUUAAAUUUACAUGAAUCGACUGUCUGUGUUGCUAGCCUGACCUUGAACGGUUGCUUUUCAGCUGGCAGCACACUCGCUCAGUCUGAAAUUCUGCAUCACCUUUCUAAUUUACCUGCACCUCUACUUGAUUUGACUCCACUGAAAAAAAUUCUAAGCACACCAUUUGAGAUCUGGUUGGUCUAUAUAUUGCUUUAUGAUGUAAUUACACACAAUUUGCUGCUGUUUGACUCCUGAUUCCUGAACCAAGCAAUUUAUUACCAAUCAUGGUUUUCCACUUUUCCUGUAGAGUGUUGGCUGUUGAGUACCUGUUUAGUGGCUUCAGGCCAAUGUUAUUGAUUCUAUAAUGGAGAUUAAUCAUUUUUGAUACCGUCACACUAGCCCAUGCAGCACACAUUUAACUGAACAAUCAUAGCUCUGCCUAAUUUAACAAUAGUAUACUGACAAAUUUAUACGCAAUGCACUAUUUAAUAGUUACUAAUUAACUAAUCAUGUAAAUGGUAAACAAACACACCUUUGUUCUGUACUAACACUAUAGCUGAGGAUCUUUGUUUCUGCAGAUGUGCAGAGGAAGGAGAUGGAUGUGGAAGGCCACCAGGGAGGCUACCAUCAAUAAUUGCAACGACACAACUUACAUGUUUCUUUUAUUUCAUAUCAUCAGCUCUUGAAAACAUUUUUUAUUUGAAUGUGUCCGGGAACUUCUAUAGUUUGAUGUGCUUAGUCCGGCCCCUCACAUAUCGCAAAUCUGCUGCAUAGUUGCAAAGGCCGGCUGCAAGGACUGCUUUGCUGGAGUUGCUUUGCCGGAGAUCGGGGCCUGGAGAUGUUUGCUUGCCAAAAAUCUCACGCACAGGAGUGCUGUAACUGGAGGAGUUCCUUGCUUGCCGGAGAUGGCGGGUGGAUGGUUAAAUUUAGAUUAGAGGCAUAGAGCGGGUGUACUUCGUACACCAAAUAUCAAUUUGUCAAUCAUAUACGAAUGAAAACUGUAGGCUCUGGAUCAUAAAUAAAUGCUGUAUUUUGUUUUAUGUGGAGGCCUAUGGUGAAAUCAUGAAUCCUAAGGUUUUUAAUAAGAGACUUGCAUUUUAUUAUGACACCAAA